UACGUAGGGUGCGAGCGUUAAUCGGAAUUACUGGGCGUAAAGCGUGCGCAGGCGGUUCGUUGUGUCUGCUGUGAAAUCCCCGGGCUCAACCUGGGAAUGGCAGUGGAAACUGGCGAGCUUGAGUGUGGCAGAGGGGGUGGAAUUCCGCGUGUAGCAGUGAAAUGCGUAGAGAUGCGGAGGAACACCGAUGGCGAAGGCAACCCCCUGGGCUGACACUGACGCUCAGGCACGAAAGCGUGGGGAGCAAACAGG
rnacentral:rRNA from 1 species